GAGGCUCCAGCGCGCAGGCGCCGCCGAGCCCUGCCUGGAUGCUCAGUCAAGGCACUAAGGCAAAAAAAAAAAUCAGCAAUUUAUAGAAAGAAGAAGCUAUAGUCUGUCGGGAUAUCCAACACCAACAGUAGGGCUUAUUGAGAGCUCCAUUUCUGGAAAGCGUUGCAAGACUGAGGAAUAUCAGACUGCGAAUCACCGGGAACAGUUCCCUUGCAGCACAGAAGCAAUCUCUCCCCAUCUUCGCAUAUUCUGAUGGCAAAUCAAAUGGAAGAAAAGAGGAAGCAUGACUGCAGAUCGGAUCAGUUCUCUUUGUGGAUUACA